UGGGGAAUUUUGGACAAUGGGCGCAAGCCUGAUCCAGCCAUGCCGCGUGCGGGAAGAAGGCCUUCGGGUUGUAAACCGCUUUUGUCAGGGAAGAAAUCCUUUGAGCUAAUACCUCGGGGGGAUGACGGUACCUGAAGAAUAAGCACCGGCUAACUACGUGCCAGCAGCCGCGGUAAUACGUAGGGUGCGAGCGUUAAUCGGAAUUACUGGGCGUAAAGCGUGCGCAGGCGGUUAUAUAAGACAGAUGUGAAAUCCCCGGGCUCAACCUGGGAACUGCAUUUGUGACUGUAUAGCUAGAGUACGGCAGAGGGGGAUGGAAUUCCGCGUGUAGCAGUGAAAUGCGUAGAUAUGCGGAGGAACACCAGUAGCGAAGGCGGCUACCUGGACCAGCACUGACGCUCAUGCACGAAAGCGUGGGGAGCAAACA
rnacentral:rRNA from 1 species